GCCGGAGUGGCGGAAUAGGCAGACGCCCCGGACUUAAAAUCCGGUGAGACUAAACCCUCGUGCCGGUUCGACCCCGGUCUCCGGCACCA
rnacentral:tRNA from 1 species